UGCUGGAUACCUGGGUUCGAUCCCUGGGUCAGGAAGAUCCCCUGGAGAAGGAAAUGGCAACCCACUCCAGUACUCUUGCCUGGAAAAUCCCAUGGACAGAGGAGCCUGGCAGGCUACAGUCCAUGAGCUCACAAAAGGGUUGGAAACAACCUAGAGA